CACGUAGUUAGCCGGUGCUUCUUCUCCAGGUACCGUCACAAAACGCUUCGUCCCUAGCGAAAGGAGUUUACAACCCGAAGGCCGUCAUCCCCCACGCGACGUCGCUGCAUCAGGCUUGCGCCCAUUGUGCAAUAUUCCCCACUGCUGCCUCCCGUAGGAGUCUGGGCCGUAUCUCAGUCCCAAUGUGGCCGUACACCCUCUCAGGCCGGCUACCCGUCGACGCCUUGGUAGGCCAUUACCCCACCAACAAGCUGAUAGGCCGCGAGCUCAUCCCACACCGAAAAAACUUUCCACAAUGGCAUCCAAACCAUCGUCCUAUCCGGUAUUAGACCCAGUUUCCCAGGCUUAUCCCGAAGUGCAGGGCAGAUCACCCACGUGUUACUCACCCGUUCGCCACUCGAGUACCCAAGCAAGCUUGGGCCUUUCCGUUCGACUUGCAUGUGUUAAGCACGCCGCCAGCGUUCAUCCUGAGCCAGGAUCAAACUCU
rnacentral:rRNA from 1 species